rnacentral:lncRNA from 1 species
UUAAUGUGCACAUGUACAUAUGUGUAGGCUUGAGUUUCAAUAUGGCCAAAUAUUGGAAUAUCUCUCAUAGCAGCACACAGAAGAUUUUCGUGGGAAAGCAGUGACACUUGAAAAGGCUUAAAAUACUGGUGGAUGAUGUUCUGCAAGAUGUGUGUCCACUCUGGUGGCACAGCCUGAACAGCUUUCUUUGGCUGACAUCAGACUACUUCAUCUUCUCUUUCAAUAGUUAGAAGACUACUUUCAAGGCCAGAAAAACCAUUUACUUCCACUUUGUCCUGGAUUCAGAAAAAAGAGCCUAUCCAGAUAGAUUGCUCAUUCCUCUUGCAUGGAAAAGAAAUGACUUACUCAUUUUUCCUGGCUGAUGCUGCAAUACAUCUUUCCCUAAAAAAGGUUGCAGGACUGACAGGAGCAAAAAAGGAAAAGAUUAAUUGUUGUGAAGUUAUACAUUAA